rnacentral:rRNA from 1 species
CGGCGGACGGGUGAGUAACGCGUGGACAACCUGCCCUAUGCAGGGGGAUAACAUCCAGAAACGGGUGCUAAUACCGCAUAAGCGCACAGUACCGCAUGGUACGGUGUGAAAAGCUGAGGCGGCAUAGGAUGGGUCCGCGUUGGAUUAGGCAGUUGGCGGGGUAACGGCCCACCAAACCGACGAUCCAUAGCCGGCCUGAGAGGGUGGACGGCCACAUUGGGACUGAGACACGGCCCAGACUCCUACGGAAGGCAGCAG